rnacentral:lncRNA from 1 species
GCAUUUCAGAGGUAAUUUUAAAACUGCUAUAUAGCAAUAUCUUAGACAAAAGUACUUUUAAAAUGUGGGGCAGAUAAAUUUUACAUAGAAGACAUUUAUUGUUUCCACAGAAACCUGUGAAUCCACCUCAAGACACAACUAAUCCAGCCUUAGGCACAAAUCCAACAGAUCCUCCAUCUUACCACAAGGUUGCUUGAUCAAUUUUGUGCACACAGAGGACCCUGCUCAUUGGAUGAUGAACACUGGAGAGUCUAAGGAACUAAAAGUUUACAAGAGUAGGGCUUUGUCUGCCUAUAAUGUGGAAGGGCAGAUCUGGGGAGGCCUGUUCUGUCUGAUUCAUUUGAGCUCUAAUCCUCUAGUAGAGGAGGGGAUAUUGUACUGUUUCUAAGCUGUGAGGUAGUGAGGGUUUGGGCCAGAUCUAGAAAUGCCAGACCAUGUAGCUCACAAGUUCUUUUCAGGAUUCUCCUCUGAUGCAGUUGGAGGGAGGUGUGAGGUAGGACAUAAGCUGUGCCAUAUUUGGGGGCCGGGGUGGUGGUGUAUGCAAAUAGAAAGCAUAGGAUGACUAAGCUCUCAGAGUUCCUUCUGAUGGGACUUAGCAGGACCAUCACUGUGGUUCUGUUGGUACAUGUGAAAACCUGGCCUUAGCCUUUGAAGGUCAUUCAAUGUGAAUUUCCCCUGUAGACGGAGACAAUCUACAGCUCUCAUCAUAGGAAGCUGUGUGGCUUAUAAUAUCACUGUCCAGUAUACAUAACAGGUAUUACUUUUGCUGUGCAUUGGGAAGAAAGAUUUAAAACUUGAAUAUCUGGUUUCUAAAAGUUCUAAAGAUUGUAUUCCACAAUCAAUUUUGUGUGAUAAAUUUUGCUCAGAUUUGAGAAACUGUUAGAAAAAAGAUGAUAGGCAUCUCCCUUCAGCAAUGUUUUAUUAGAAUCCUUUUACUUUUCUGCUACCGCACAAAUAUGUAGACAGUAUGGCCUCUCUACUGAGACAAGAGAUAAGUAGAAUCAGGACAGUCAGAAAUUUAACAGUUUUCAUGGUCACUCUGCAUUAUUUUUGCCAGAGUUGUGAGGUUUGUGUUUGUUUAAUUUCAAUGCCCAUGCACUCGUAAUUAACAUUUAUCAGGUUCAUAUUUAAAGAAUUAUACACUUAAAAAGGACCCCCUAAUUCUAUACUCUAUUUGUCAUGAAACUUCAUAAUACAUUGACAGCUUAAGCAGUGUCAAGCAGACUGUUUCAUCUGAUUUAAAUCUUUAAUGGUACUCUCAUUGGUUAGAUGAAUUGUGAGUUUUGAGCUGUCUUGUCUGCAAUACAGGUUGAAAUAGAAAACGAAGGGGAGGAAACACAGAAUCUAGCUGAAGCAUUUACAUUCAAAGGGUUUUAAUAUUCUUUUAUUUGGUAUGUGGGGAAGAUAAUGUAAAUAUUCAGCUUCUUACUGCCAGAGUUUUCAGAUAGAUGAGAAACAAAGAGCUAUUAUAAUAUAGUAUAAAAACCCAGAAAUUUGUUUUAUUUGGAUAUGAUGAGAACUAUCUGAGAAUAAGUCAAAGUGAAGGAAAAACUAAAAAUGACACUAAGAAAUAGAUGGAAUUGUUUUUGUUUGAAUGUAAAUAAUGACUUUAAAUGAUUGGUGAGCAUUUAUGAAAUAGCUGUAGAAAAGUGACUCAAACUCUUUCUUUUCUUCUGAGUACAUAACCAGUCUUAGAUGGUAACUAUUUCAUUUUUUGAUUUGGAGAUUUUUGUUUGUUUGUUUGUUUUCUUUUCUUUUCUUUGAAACAGGGUUUCUCUGUGUAGCCCUGGCUGUCCUGGAACUCACUUUGUAGACCAGGUGGGCCUUGAAUUCAGAAAUCCGCCUGACUCUGCCUCCCAAGUGCUGGGAUUAAAGGUGUGCUCAAAGACCGCCCAGCCUUGGAGAAUGUUUUUGAACACUGAACAUCUUUUACAUAGCAGUUAAUGUUUGAUAUAUAAGUAAUGCAUCAAUGCUGGGUAACCUUACACAUGUAUUUUUAUUUUUGGAACCUUUAUUCAAAUAUUAGUUUUUCUUAGAGAGAAGGAUGAAUAUUUUUGUAAUUAAGUGAGCAGUUAGGUUGUCUUUCGGUGACCUAUGGAUUUCCUUCUCUCCAUAAAACGAAAACAGUGUGUGUGUGUGUGUGUGUGUGUGUGUGUGUGUGUGUGUGUGUGUGUGUGUGACAUUGCAGAGUGCAAAACUUGUGAUUUCAGAGACCUACACAGGGCCUAGAAAUGAUCUAGUCAUAAAGUCCUGUGUGAUGGUGAUCCUCUUCAAAAAAGAAUGAGAACUCUCUCUAUCAAAUCAUGCUUUCCAUGUCUUCACUAUUUUGCUUUUCUUUGUUCAUUUUACUUUCCCUUCUUCCUUGCAUUUUCAUUUAAGAAAUACUGAAUAACUGUGUGAAAAUAGCUACUCCUUUCAUACAAUAUAACACGACCACAGUUGCUCCUCCCUUCGCUUGUUCCAGUUACAUAACCUCCACCUCUCCUAUUCUCCUUCCCUU